GACGAACGCUGGCGGCGUGCUUAACACAUGCAGGUCGAACGGAAAGGCCCUGCUUUUGUGGGGUGCUCGAGUGGCGAACGGGUGAGUAACACGUGAGUAACCUGCCCUUGACUUUGGGAUAACUUCAGGAAACUGGGGCUAAUACCGGAUAGGAGCUCCUGCUGCAUGGUGGGGGUUGGAAAGUUUCGGCGGUUGGGGAUGGACUCGCGGCUUAUCAGCUUGUUGGUGGGGUAGUGGCUUACCAAGGCUUUGACGGGUAGCCGGCCUGAGAGGGUGACCGGCCACAUUGGGACUGAGAUACGGCCCAGACUCCUAAGGGAGGCAGCAGUGGGGAAUAUUGCACAAUGGGCGGAAGCCUGAUGCAGCAACGCCGCGUGCGGGAUGACGGCCUUCGGGUUGUAAACCGCUUUCGCCUGUGACGAAGCGUGAGUGACGGUAAUGGGUAAAGAAGCACCGGCUAACUACGUG
rnacentral:rRNA from 1 species